rfam:Picea glauca, whole genome shotgun sequence.
GACUCUCGACAAUGGAUAUAUAGGCUCUUGUCACAAUGAAUAACAUAGAAAAAUGUGAUACUUAGUGUGAAUUGUAGAAUCUCAUGAAUCGUCGCAUUUUUUAACUCAAUUUUCACUUGAGGCCUUAGUUGAGGGCACGUCUAUUUGGGUGUCA